CCCCCACAGAUUCUUCCUCUCCUUUGGAGCAUCCAAGAGAUCAAGAGAAGAAGAAGUAGUUCAGCCUUCGAAGAUCCUUGCGAGCUAGCACUCUCGAGGAGCCGAUCUGCAAUCGAUCUUUGUGUGGACGAUCUGUAGAGGUCAGACUUCUUCAUGCGGCUACAAGCAACCUGAACGAACUCUCUCCUAUGUGAGAUACUUGUAGAGAUCAGCAACCC
rnacentral:lncRNA from 1 species